rnacentral:tRNA from 1 species
UACGUUUAAGUAUAAGAUGUACGGGAGCUUUUGAUGUUCUUAGGGGUAGAUAAAAACUAUCAAGCGUAA